UACAGAGGUCUCAAGCGUUGUUCGGAUUCAUUGGGCGUAAAGGGUGCGUAGGCGGCGCGGUAAGUCGGGUGUGAAAUCUCGGAGCUUAACGCCGAAACUGCAUUCGAUACUGCCGUGCUUGAGGACUGGAGAGGAGACUGGAAUUUACAGUGUAGCGGUGAAAUGCGUAGAUAUCGUAAGGAAGACCAGUGGCGAAGGCGGGUCUCUGGACAGUUCCUGACGCUGAGGCACGAAGGUCAGGGGAGCAAACGGG
rnacentral:rRNA from 1 species